GAAUAGUAUUGGAAGAAGGAGUCAAUGGUGUGGACGAAGGAAUAAUAUAAGCUCCUAGAGAAUGGAUCAGAUCACUUGAAGUUCCAUGGAAUCCAACGAUUUUGCCGCCUCCUAGCUCAGCUUCUUCUCCAGAGGUUAGUCCAAACGGCUGAGAAGUUUUUCCUUUGAAUGUCUUGAAUAUAAGAGCUGUGACGAUCUCUAUCGGUGACCCGAAAAGUUUCUCGUAGUAAACUUUCACAUAGGUGAUGUAGUCUUCAGGAUCAAUCUCAAACUGCAAAAACAAAAACACAUCAAUACUAGAAAGAAAGAAAAAAAAAACUUUUGGGCAAUUUCAAGAAAUACAAAGAUUUGUGUACCUCCUCUGUUCCAAGUAGUGUUUGCUUCCCAUGUUCAAGUGAUACAAUCUUACCAUCUUUCUCGUAAUCAAACUUGACAUAAACAACACCAGAGUCACCUUGUCCAACAUAAACUUUCUUUACAUUGUCAUAAGCACCACCGUCGUCCCAAACAUCUCCACCACGACCACCUUGAGCUUCCAAUUUGGUCAGACCACCUGAUACCGGCGGAGUCAGCGGUGUAGUCGACGGAAUUAUAUAAACUCCAACAGAAUGGAUCAAAUCACUUGAACUUCCAUGAAAUCCAACGAUUUUGCCACCUCCUAGCUCAGCUUCUUCUCCAGAGGUUAGUCCAAAAGGCUGAGAAGUUUUCCCCUUGAAUGUCUUAAAGAUUAGAGCCGUUACGAUCUCUAUCGGUGAUCCAAAGAGCUUCUCGUAGUAAAUUUUCACUGAUGUUAUGUAAUCUUCUGGAUCAACCACAAACUAGCAAAAAAAAAAAAAGACAACCAAAAAUGAUCAGUUAAUGUUGAUGACAAGAGAACUCUCAUUGAAAACAAAAUAUUUA
rnacentral:lncRNA from 1 species